UAGACAGGCAUUUUCAAGUAUUGCCAUAGAUUUUCAAGCCGAUUUAAAGGGGAAUUUCACCCUGAGGGAAUCUGGGCUUGUUAUCAUCAUUCAGGCAUUUCUAGGUCCGUUAGAUGUGUGUCACACACAAUUUCCCAGGAGCAAGGCAGGUCUAGGCUUCGUGCGCUGAAUGAUACACCGUAUGAUGGCUUCCGGUGUAUUGAUGGGGGACUACAACUCGUGUGGGUCAGUGCUUUGUGCUCUUGCCCCGUCUCUCCCUCAAGGAGAGAGGGAGGCAGAGACUAACACAAUCCUUUGUGCAAAACUGAAAGAAUUGACCAGACCGCAAUGGGUUCAAGGGAUUCCUCUCAUCAGCACAAAUUCAAAAAUUGAGCAUUUUUUGAUGUUCUAUUUGCUACAUGGUGACAUUCAAUCAUACAUGUUUCAACUGGAAUAUAGCGAAUAGGAUUCGAAACAAAGGGUUAGAUUUAGCUAGAAGCUCGGCUACAAAUGAUGCCAGCACCAAGAGGGAAGAUGACAAAUACAGUGGCUAGCUAAACAAUACCUUCUGGCACCUAGGAUUUUUCCUGGAGUGGAUUCUAGAUGGAGAGAAACAGAAUCCCGUGAACUGUAUCCCUCUCAAUGGAUUGGACAUUAUGCUGGAUUUCAAGCAGAAGAUGACUCAAGAGGAUCUGAAUGGCAGUUUGAUCAUGACUGCUGUACAAGUAUUCCCUGAACUUUACUACACUGAUCAUACUGUAUUUUCUUACUGUAUGUUUCUGUGUGAAUGGCAAUUUCAUCAUGACCACCUCUCCCAUCAUCUGUUGAUCACCAGUUCUCUUAGCUACAGAUUGUUACACCAGAUGAUGUGAUUUAACCAAACAGUUCUUGUAUUCAUUACUGGGAGUUACAGGAUAGGUAUUUUCGACAGUCUUAGCUUGGCGAUUCUGUCUUCGUCCUCGAUUUGUGGAAACAGGAGUCUCAUAACAUGUCUGUGUCCAGUUGCAGGUGGUCAGUUUGAAUUUAGAAAACGCUCCAUUAUUAAAAUAAAUAUUUAUUUUGCUCCA